GACGAACGCUGGCGGCGUGCUUAACACAUGCAAGUCGAACGGAAAGGCCCUGCUUUUGUGGGGUGCUCGAGUGGCGAACGGGUGCGUAACACGUGAGUAACCUGCCCUUGACUUUGGGAUAACUUCAGGAAACUGGGGCUAAUACCGGAUAGGAGCUCCUGCUGCAUGGUGGGGGUUGGAAAGUUUCGGCGGUUGGGGAUGGACUCGCGGCUUAUCAGCUUGUUGGUGGGGUAGUGGCUUACCAAGGCUUUGACGGGUAGCCGGCCUGGGAGGGUGACCGGCCACAUUGGGACUGAGAGACGGCGCAGACUCCUACGGGAGGCAGCAGUGGGGAGUAUUGCACAAUGGGCGGAAGCCUGAUGCAGCAGCGCCGCGUGCGGGAUGACGGCCUUCGGGUUGUAAACCGCUUUCGCCUGUGACGAAGCGGGAGUGACGGUAAUGGGUAAAGAAGCACCGGCUAACUACGUG
rnacentral:rRNA from 1 species